GGGCGGCUAGCUCAGCUGGUUAGAGCGCGUCACUGAUAAUGACGAGGUCACAGGUUCGAGUCCUGUGCCGCCCA
rnacentral:tRNA from 1 species